rnacentral:rRNA from 1 species
AAAGUCCCCUUCGGGGGGCGAGUAGAGUGGCGCACGGGUGAGUAACACGUAGGUAAUCUACCUUUGGAUUGGGAAUAACAACCGGAAACGGUUGCUAAUACCGAAUAAUGCAGCGGCACCUAAUGGUGACAGUUGUUAAAGCGGGGGAUCGUAAGACCUCGCGUCUGAAGAGGAGCCUGCGGCAGAUUAGCUAGUUGGUAAGGUAACGGCUUACCAAGGCGAUGAUCUGUAGCCGGCCUGAGAGGGCGGUCGGCCACACUGACACUGACAUACGGGUCAGACUCCUACGGGAGGCAGCAGUCGGGAAUUUUGGGCAAUGGGCGAAAGCCUGACCCAGCAACGCCGCGUGAAGGAUGAAAUCCUUCGGGAUGUAAACUUCGCAAGAACGGGAAGAAUAAGUAAGAGUUAAUAUCUCUUACGAUGACGGUACUGUUUGUAAGCUCCGGCUAACUCCGUGCCAGCAGCCGCGGUAAUACGGGGGGAGCAAGCGUUGUUCGGAUUUACUGGGCGUAAAGGGCGCGUAGGCGGCCACCGCAAGUCGACUGUGAAAUCUCCGGGCUUAACCCGGAAAGGUCAGCCGAUACUGCGGGGCUAGAGUGCAGAAGGGGCAACUGGAAUUCUCGGUGUAGCGGUGAAAUGCGUAGAUAUCGAGAGGAACACCUGCGGCGAAGGCGGGUUGCUGGGCUGACACUGACGCUGAUGCGCGAAAGCUAGGGGAGCGAACGGGAUUAGAUACCCCGGUAGUCCUAGCCUUAAACGAUGAAUGCUUGGUGUCUGGGGUUUUAUAGUCCCCGGGUGCCGUCGCUAACGCUUUAAGCAUUCCGCCUGGGGAGUACGGUCGCAAGACUGAAACUC